AAGACCUUACUUCAUAGGAUCAUUUCUAUAGUAAGUUCUUCACGAGACCAUAGUCCCCCCCCCCAAACGGGU
rnacentral:snoRNA from 1 species